GCCAGGUGUGGUUGCUCACAUCUGUAAUCCCAGCAUUUUGGGAGGCUGAGGCAGGAGGAUCGCUUGAGCCUAGGAGUUUGAGACUAGCCUGGGCAACAUAGUGAGACCCCUGUCUCUACAAAAAAAUUUUUAAUAAAUUAGGUAUAGGGGUGUGCCUCUGUGGUUCCAGCUACUCAGGAGGCUGAGGUGGGAGGAUUACUUAAGCCUGAGAGGUGGAGGCUGCAGUGAGCUAUGAUCAUGCCAUUGCGCUUUAGCCUGGGUGACAGAGUGAGACCCUGUCUCU
rnacentral:sRNA from 1 species